UGAAACUGGAGCCUAUUAUACAAAGUGAAAAAUACAGGGACUAGAAGAACGAGUUAAACAUGACUACAAGGAAGCAGUCAGACCCAGAACUGAGGACAUUCUACAAGACAACCAACCUGUCCUUAACUAGACAAUGUCAUAAAAAGAAAAGCAUUCACUUGCUUGUAGGAUGCCGAGUCCAGAAGCCCUGCAACCAACACUCCCAGUGAGAAAUGGCUGGGCCUAUGCUUCCUCGUAGGGAAGCAGGACGCCUCAAUCCAAGAUCGGCAGCAACGGGCCGUGUGCAGAGACGUUGGGCUGGGAGCUGGAGCCUGAGCGGCACAGCUGCACCCAAUCUGCAAGAAUUCCACCCCCUCCUCUCCCUUCCCCACUGACAAGAACCCUAUAAAGUAGCCCUACCCACAGCCACUCAGGA